UCCUAUUAGACAUCACUACCACCUCUACCUCCUCUCUUUUCUGUCUCAUCUUAGCCACCAACUCCGCCACCACCACCAUCUUUAAUUCUAACAUUUAGUAGUAACCUAAUUUCAUUUGAAAGAGAGAGUUUUCGUCGGAUUAAUCGAGAGAGGAAUACAUUCUCACUGGAAAUUAGUCGAAGAAUCAACUGAGAUCGAGCAAAAACCAUUAUCAUCGGCAGUUCAUCAUUAUGGUUCAGGAGAGAUCUCAUCUUGGGAUUUGAUUCCUGUCGCAUGUGUUAAGUGGUACUAAUCUUGUUGAAUGGUGGAGUAGAAUUAGAGUCGCAUGCGCUGUUGGUGGUGCAAUUGGCAUUAGUGGUGACAGAGGAGUUGGAGGUGAUGCUGGUGUGAUAGGAGGAUUAGAUUUGGAGCAUUAGAUGCUUCUGUGCUGGUGGUGGAAUUGGUGCACUUGGUACUGGUGAACGAGACGUGGUGGCGGUGGAAUCGAAUUGUUUGUAUCUAAGUUGGUGGAUGCAAAAUUUUGAUUAGUUUAUUUUUUGUAAUUCAGCUUCUCAGAUUGGGUAUUGUGAAAAUUAAUUUGAUCUCGGUGGUACCAAAUUUCUGUUGAAUUUGUUAUGUGUAUCCAAUUGUUGAAUUGCACUUCUUAAACUAGUACUAGUACUAUCUGUAUUAAUGAAUUUUGAUCGCUUAUCUCAGAUGAGAAAGCAGAUAUUGAGCUUGAUGGCGGAAAAUGGAGGCUGGAAUUUUUAACAAGCAGGUGUAUUAAUGAAUUUUGAUCGCUUAUCUCAGAUGAGAAAGCAGAUAUUGAGCUUGAUGGCGGAAAAUGGAGGCUGGAAUUUUUAACAAGCAGGAUGCACCAUUGUAAUGCAUUGCACGAAGGAAAAAGCUUGAUCCUAGUUUUGAAGCAUGUGUACCAGCUGUAAUCUUGAGCAAAUCACAGUUCUGUCUGUGACUUACGUAAUUGUUUCUAUUCUUGUUUGCAAGGGUCAAAGGAAGGAUGGGAUUGCUUGUACCGCAGGCAUAGAUAAGAAUGGUCUCCGGGAGCUAGGGAUACAAAUAUUGGGCUCACACACUGUUAUUCCAUUGGAUCACCAGAUCCGUAGGUCAGUAUGGCAUCUGAUUUAUGAAGACAUUGAAGUAGUUACAUUAGACAAACAUGUGGUGUAAUGGUAGCACAACUGACUCCACGUCAGAAGAUGCGUGUUCGAUUCACGUCAGGUUCACUAAUUUUAGGACAUCAAUUUUUGGGGUCAACUUUGGUUGUUGACACGAGAUUUUGGGGUCAACUUUGGUGACACGAGAUAUUGGGGGCAACUUUGGUUGUUGACACCAUAUUUUUGGGAUCAACUUUGGUUGUUGACACCAUGUUAAUUUAUUUUCUGAAUUUUGUUUUUGAGAUCAACUUUGGCUGUUGAUACCAUAUUAAAUUUUUUUAUAUUUUAUUCUCUGAUUCUUGUUUUGGAAUCAA